AGAGCGAACGCUGGCGGCAGGCUUAACACAUGCAAGUCGAGCGCCCCGCAAGGGGAGCGGCAGACGGGUGAGUAACACGUGGGAACGUACCCUUUGGUUCGGAACAACCCAGGGAAACUUGGGCUAAUACCGGAUAAGUCCGUAAGGAGAAAGAUUUAUCGCCAAAGGAUCGGCCCGCGUCUGAUUAGCUAGUUGGUAGGUAAUGGCCUACCAAGGCUACGAUCAGUAGCUGGUCUGAGAGGAUGAUCAGCCACAUUGGGACUGAGACACGGCCCAAACUCCUACGGGAGGCAGCAGUGGGGAAUAUUGGACAAUGGGCGCAAGCCUGAUCCAGCCAUGCCGCGUGAGUGAUGAAGGCCUUAGGGUUGUAAAGCUCUUUUAGCGGGAUGAUAAUGGACGGUACCCGCAGAAAACGCCCGGACUAACUUCGUGCCAGCCAGCCGC
rnacentral:rRNA from 1 species